UAUUUUUUCAUAGAGAUGGGGUUUCACCAUGUUGUCCAGGCUGAUUUUAAACUCCUGGAUUCAAGCCAUUCACUCUCCUCAAGGAUGGGAUUUUAAUAAUGAUCCAUUGCAUCUAAGUCCCACAGAAACUGAAGUGAGGGCAAAAGGAGGGUGAGAGAUCACGAAAAGAUGAGAGAGCUCAUGGCUGGGAGGUCCUGAAGGGACCAAACAGUUGUUACAAGAAGAUAGCAUUUGCACUUGAGUGCUUUCAUAGGCAAUGCAGGCUCACUCUGUCCCAAACUGAACUGUUGAACUUUCUCUGUCAAACCAGCUCCUCUUCUGGUCUUUGGCAUUUCUGUGAAAAGAGCUAACAUCACCCGCAGUUACUCAAGCUAGGAAUUUCAGUCUUUGACUCUUCCCUCCCCCUCAUUCCACAUAUACACAUGGACGUUUGUUCCUACUGCCUGCAAAUUGUUCAUUAAAUAACCAUUUUCUUCAUCUCCACUACCACCAAUUUAGUCCAAGAGAAAGUUCACCUCCUCUCUCACUCAGGAAGAGCUUCCCCACCAUUCUCCCCAAUCCACACUUUCCACCUUCCUCCAUGUAUUGUCUACACCACAGCCAGGCUGGUGGAGUUUUUUUUUCCAAGCUACCCCUUUUAAAGACAUAACUUUUACAAUGUAAUUCUGACUUCUUCCCCUCUUGCUCUGGAUAUGGCAAGUAGCCUUUCGGUCAGCCUGUAUCUGCUUCUUCAGCCACCAUGAGAACCUCUGUCCCCAACAACUCCUAUGCUUCUCCGCUCUUGCUGGCCUUCUCUCUGCCCCCAACCAGCCCAAGGUCUCCUCUUCCCCUGGGCCUUCACAGAUGUCAUGCCCUCACCCUGCUGACUCCUACUGCCCCUUCAUGUCUCAGCUCUAAUGCGACAUCCUCAGGAAGCCUUUUCUAACCCCACUCAGCUCCCAAGCUAGGUUCUAUCUGCAAGUUGUUGUACACACUUCUUGCUGAAUAACAUAGAUGCCAGCAGAUCUCCUGAGACAAUGCCUAUCUCAGAGGCUCUGGUCUAGACCACCUAGCCCAGGAAUGCACACUCUGAGAAUUUCUUUGACGUGUUUCCUCCUCAGGAGACCAGAAGUUUCCACAAGGCUAGGUUGGCAGCAAUUGAAAUUUAUUCUCUUAGUACCCUGGAAUCAAGUUGAUAUCUAUAAAUGCUGGCUGAACAAACGAGUUUGUGAAUGAUUGAGAAAUGUGGAUUUUGCCCCCGGAUUCAUUUCUGUCAUUUCUGACCUUACUGGUUCCCUGCCUUCUUCUACUCCCUCGUUCUGGGCAUGUGCUUUCUUUCAUGAGGCCUAUAGGCUUAUAGUGCAAGGUACAAAAUCAGUUACCAUGCAGGAAGGUUUUCCACCUGUUCUUUACAAAAACUGAACUUUAUAGUUCAGCUUCCCAUCUUGCGAAAUUUAUAGCUUUCCAGCUUGUGAAACGAAACACUUAAGAUCUGCCACAAAACACACCCCUUUGAAAAGGCUAUUUGGUUCUGACAAUAAAUAUGAUAAACACACAUGGAAUAAACGUCAAAUAGAUCAAAGUGCUAGAUUCAGAAACAAUUAUUUCUUCUUCCCUGAACUCCUCUCUUCCCAUUUUAAUGAACAAGCAGCACACGCACGCACACACACACACACACACACACACACACACACACAGAGAGAGAUCUUCAUUGUUCCAUAAAAUUAUAGCAUCAGAUAUACCCUAUUGUUACCUGACUUUCUUCACAUAGUAAUAUAUGUUGAAGAUAUUAAAUAUCAGCCCAUGUUGCUUACCCAAUUCUUUUAGGUGACCCCUAGAAUUCUAUUGUAUGUUAUGCUAGAGUUUACUUAACUAGACCUAUAUAAAUGGGCACAAAAUGCUACCAUAAAUAUUCUUGUGUCAUAUAUUUUUAGGUGUUUGAGUACAUGCACUCCUAAAAGUAGACUACCUGGGUCAAAAGGCACAAGCACUUAAAAUUUUGAAAGAUAUUGCCAACCAAAGAGGUGAUACCAGUUGUGAGGGACUGUGCCCGAGAAUGUGGGUUUUUCAACACUCACACAGUUACAGUUUCAAGUUUGUUUGUCUUCAUUUCUGAUUAUUAAUCAUCAGGGAUUUGGGGCAACUUCAGAUUUUAGUUCCUCUUCCUGUGAAAUGUAAUAAACUCUGAGUGAAUAAAACCUAAAGAAAAUCUAUAGCCCUUUACUUCUGCUACAUCACUUCGUUGUGAAUAUUCUCUUUUUUCACUUUAUCUUUCUUCAGGUAAGAUGCUUGGCUACAAACAUCUAAUACUCUGGCAUAUUUGAAGGGUAGAAGAAAAGAAUUGCACAAGAAACUACCCAGAUCUUCCUACUACACCCUGUUGCUGUGAUAUGAUUUGGGGCAAGUUACUAACAUUUUGGAAUUUCUACUUUCUCAUCUGUAAAAUGGGUACAGUGUAUUGUCUACUCAUCAGGUUGCAGUGGGGAUUAAUUGAGAUAAUAUACACACCUAGAACAGGCUAGACACUCAACAUAUGAUAAUAUCGUUAGUGCAGACUUAUUUGUGCGUAGUUAUACUGCACUGAGGCUUGAAAAACAGCAUAUUCUGACAUUCGUUCAUGCCACAAAUAUUAAGGACCCACCACCAUGGGCCAGGUACUGUGUUGAGUAUUGAGGGCACAGAAAUAAAUGGGUCUUGAGGAAUCUCAGUGCAGCACAGCACUUAAGAGCACUUUGUGGUCAGGUGGGCCGGGGUGGGCUUUACUAUUUGGUCAAAUAAUAAAGAUUCUCUGAAGGACAAGUUCCUCAUCUGUCGAACAGGCUGAAAAAUAUCUGUGGGCAUUGUCAUUGAAUCCUUUGAGAGUUGAAUCAGCCUUUAUCCAUUCUUCUUUUCGUGAUGGUAUCUUGACUUGAGGAGACACAAAACAUACUGAGAAGACAAAGACCUCCCUAAAGAAAACAGAUCAACUCUGAGCUUCCUGGUGACACUCAAAGCCUUGUGAGAGGAGCAGUGUGAAGAAAAGGCGAGAACAAUCCCUGGACCAACCAAAGUCCACAGGCUGCUGCAUCCCGCACCCAGUUCCUACGUCCCAUCGCCGGUGCCAGCAUGCCUGAGAGAAUGGCUGAAAGCGGUGCUAAAGGAGAUAAGACCAAGGUGAAGGAUGAACCGCAUAGCAGAUCUGCAAGUUGUCUGCUAACCCUGCCCCUCCAAAGCCAGAGCCGAAGCCUAAAAAAGCACCUGCAGAGAAGGGAGAGAAGGUACCCAAAGGGAAAAAAGGGAAAAGCUGAUGCUGGCAAGGAGGGGAUAACCCUGCCAAAAAGGGAGAUGCUUGAACAGACCAGGCACAGGAAGCUGAAGCUGCUGGGGUUGCCGAGGGGAGUGUGUGCAUUUUUGAAAACUGUGUACUUCUGGUGGCUGUACAAUUUGAAAUACUACUUUUUAUCAAGUUCUAUAAAAAUCAGAAUUUUGUUUUACUCUUUUUAAAGCUAUGUUGUUAUUACACAGAACACUUUAUUGUUGUUUUUGGAGGAAGGGGCAUAUGUCACUAAUAGACUGUCUCUGAAACUGGACUGAUGUGGGGAAAACACCUUUCCCUUCAAGUUUUUAAUUUUUUUUUUUUUUUUUAGUAGAGAAGGAGUUCCACCAUGUUGGCCAGGCUGAUCUCGAGCUCCUGACCUCAAGUGAUCUGCCCACCUCGGCCUCCCACAGUGUUGGGAUUAUAGGCAUGAGCCACCAUGCCCAGCCCCCUUCUAGUUUGGAAAGACUUCCUCUUGGCUCCCAGGAGGAGGGAUUCCCUGACUUUGACCACAUGGUCACCUUGGCACAAAAGUCUUAUGGUAUGAAAAAACAAAUUUAUUCGUUUUUACGUCUUCUUCCUUUCCAUCUUUCAGUGUAGCCUUAACUCCCAUAAACCCAGACACCUAUGGGGACCUGACCCCCAAUAAUGGUUACCAGUGUGUCAGGCAAUCUGGACUUUCCAGUGAGGCCUCUGAGAUGGUGCCCCUCAAAGGAGUAGCAGUUCUGAUUCUAGAUUGUGGAUCUUCAGAUAAAUUCUGCCAUUUUUAUUUCACUUCCUGAAAGUCAGAGUUGGCCCGUGAGAAGCUGUUAGACAGCAUGCAAAUGUGAAAUGUCAAUUGUCAAUCUAAACUUUCCCUGUUCAGGGCGUCAGUCAAAGACUUCAUGGGUUUUACAGUUGCUUCCUGAUUUUUGGUAGUUUAUGGAGGAAGAAAGUUUGAAAGUUGUCGUAUACUGUUUAUGAUUGUCUAGCCAUGUCCUGCUGAAAUACCAUGACUGUUGAUGGACAGUAUCUCUAGCAAAGCUAAAUACAAUUUAGCUUGGGGAAAAAAAAACAAAGGUCUCCUGACAGCUGCCACAGACCUGCACCCAAGAGCAUGUUUCCAGAAGUUCCCGCUAUACACCCUAAAUCCCCUUUGAGAACAGACUGGUCUGUCAACUGUAAGUCUUUGUUUUCACAUUUACAAUAUGAAAAUCAUCACAUGUUUACAUGAUGGCAGUGUUGUGAGGGUAUUGUUCACAAAGGACUGACGCUCAAAAAUGUUAGCAAUUAUUGUUGAAAGAAAAAAAACAAGAAUUAGGUAAUGAAUUGUAGCAUCUCCCUUUUCUCCCUUUAACAUUGUGCCUUAUUCCUCAGCAAAUGAGCAAAAGAUGCUGUUGGCCGCCUGACAGAUGGUUUUAGCUGGUGAAUCCGAUGAAGAAUCUGGAUCUGCUGGUGAAUGUCCAGCCUGUUGUUGCUGAGUUUGAACCAUGGGAGAGGCAGUUGUUUAUUCUGCAGGCAUUGCUUGAGUGCCAGCCACAUACUGGGCAUGGCUCUGGUGCUAGGGACAGAGAACUUGGUAUUUCUGGUGAACAAAGGCAAGCAAUUGCCCUGUUGGCAUGGAGCUGACCUUCUAGUGGGGGAACUGAAAACAGACGGCACCCCCAUGUCUAGAGGCUUUCCCAGGUAUACACUUUCCCAUGUAUACACUCCCAUGUUCUUGCAGCAAGGCUGAGCCACAGGGAGAUUACAUGAGAUGCUCAGGCUUAAAGGGCUAGUGGGGGUGGAAAGCUGGUAUUGGAGUCUGGGCUCUGGUGGUUUGGAAGAGGAGAUAUGGCCUGGCAGGAAUCGUGUGUACACAGUGAAGUAGAAAGAAUAAUACAGAAAAAUAUAUCUUUACUUAAAUGGAAAAAAAUACGUAUACAUACUCAUGGAAAAUAUAUAUUUUUUCAGUGGAAAAAAAUAUAUAUAUAUAUAUUCAUUUAAGUAAAAUAGGAGUAAAGAUAGGAGCUCAUGAGAAGUCAACUUCUCAGCCACAUCCUCCCUUAGGUCUGACUACAGCUUAACAGAUCUGGUGACUUUUCGGCUCUCCCACUGCCCCGCCUCUUUCACUCAGCUACUAUUCCUUAACCUUCAGGUAACAGCUUAGACACUCCAAAUGUGAGACAUGUUUUACAGGCCUUCACAUCUGAAUUACAAGCUCGUAUCAUGGAUAACCAUACGCAUUCUAUACUUUCUGGUUUUUUCAGAAAAUUUUGCCACCCCACCUCCAUCCCCUAUUAGACUGUAGAAGGAAACCAAACAAUCUUAGUCUCAGGCGCAUCUUCAGUGGCUAGCAAGUCCCUGGUGCUUAGAGGGCACUGCGUAACUAUUUGUUGAUGAGUAUCAUACUUCAAUGCAAUUCUUUUUACUUACAUCCCCUUAUUCAUCCAUUCAUGCAUUAAAUAUUUACUGAGCUGUUUUAGGUUCUGGGUUUAUAGCAGUCAAGCAAAUUCAGUCCCCAGAAGUUUAUAUUUUAAAGUGGAAUAGAUGUAUAAUAGACAAGAUAAGUAAACCAUAGCAUAUGUGAGGUGGUGAUGAGGGCUAAGAAGGGAACUCAGCAAGGAACGGGAUAAGGACUGUGGGGAGGGCUGCAAUUUUGGAUAAAGGACCAAGGAAGGUCUCACACAGAGGGUGGCACUUGGGUAAAAGUCUGCAUACAGGGAGGUGAAAUCUGGGGAAACAGGGCUCCAGACCGAGAAGAGCAAUUACAAAGGCCCUAAGGCAGAAGCAAGUCUGGUGUGUUCAGAGAACAGCAGAGGUCAAGUAACAGGUCCAUGGUACAGGAAGAAUAAAGAGAGAAUAAGUGGGAGAUGAAAAUAGAGGUGUAAUUAAUUGUGUGUGCGUCGGGGACCCAGAGAUAGCUAAACACUAGCGGAGAAAAGUGACAUCUCCUGACAUGUUUUGUCAGGCUCACUCUGGCUGUGUGUUGAGCGGAAACGGAAGUGAGGUGGGGACAGAAACAAUAAGGCCAUUUUGGAAGCUAUGGUGCCAUAAUCCAGACAAGGGAUGAUGGUGCCUUGAACUGGGUUGGCAUCAGCAGAUGCAAUUAAAUUCUGAAUAUAUUUUAAAAGUACAGCAGACAAGAUUUGUCGAUGGAGUAAAGAGAUAAUGAGAGCGGUCAGAGACAACUCCAUGAUUUUUGGCUUGAGCAACUUUAAGGAUGGAGUUGUUAUUUACUGAGUAGAGAAAGACUGUGAGAGGAGAAUUCAUCUGGGGUAUGUUGAGCUUAAGAUGCCUGUUACGUGUCUAAGUGAAAAUGUUGAGACAAACACCAUACCACGCUGCACAAAAGUUAACUUAUUCAAUCCUCAUAAGAACCUCCCCAUGAGGUAGGUGGUAUCCGUGACGCCAUCUUACAGGAAAGAGACUGAGACCUGAGGCCCAGAGAGGAAGAGUGACUUUUCCAAGUUUACCUAGCUGGUUGGUGGUGGAAGUGGAGAACUGGAAUUCAAGCCUAAGCAACGAGGCUCUGGAAUUCAUGCUCACUUUGCAAAACACACACACACACACACACACACACACACACACACACACACUCACUCUCUCUCUCUCCCUCUACCUCUCCACCUCAUUCUAGUCACUUAAGAAAUUCCUUGUUCUGAGCACUCAUUGAGCCCAUUUGUGAGCCAGUCACUGUGGGUGCUCUGAUUAGAAUGGGUAUGAGUCACUUUCUGUGGGCCUGAUCUUCGGAGUGGAGUCCCACACGGGCUGAGAAUAAAGCAAUGGGCAGCCUCUCCAGAGCAAAAUCAGCAUGUCAUCACCAGAAAUAAGAUGAAUAGAUGCUAAAUA